GUCUUACUCCCUGGAUGCUGGUAUUUCUGUUGCAUUGAUGCCCAGCCGAGUGGGAGUUGGCAUGCUCUCUGUCCAGCGUACUCUGCACUACCAGUCCUGCUUCUCAGCAGUGCUUCUGCCCACUGAAAAGAUUCUGGGUGCAGGUUGCCCUGUUCAGAGUCUAAACAGUGGUACCUCCCUAGCUGCCACGUUGAUGCCCAUCUUUGUCCCUUGAAAUAAGCUCCGUCUUCCAAACCUGACCCAUAUCCACGCCCUUCGGCAGACAGUGCUUCUGUGAACUUGUGGAGUUUGGAAGAAUGGACCUCACUCCCUCAGCUGUUCAUCUUUCAGCUCAUGCCUACCGUUAUGGAGAAGACAGACAGGAGCAGAGGGCUGCGAGGCCAUAGGAGCCUGCAAAGCACAUGGGUUGCUAUGUGCCCCACGAGGCACAGGGCCACCCGAUGAAAGAACAGGAACCAUGAUGUGCGCACCGAGGACUGCAAGGCUCCCCACGUCUCUGCUCUCUUGAAGGAGAUACACACUGCUCUCUGAGGACUUAAUACCUGGCCCCUGAGAAGAGACUUUCUGCAUCUGACCACUGAAACUGGAGGUCCUGCUGCAGCAGGAGUAAAGAUGAAAGCAUUCUUGCCCAACUUUCUUGAAGUUGCUGUUCAACAUUAACGAUGUAGGCUUUUCCUGAAAUACAGCUUAGACGCAGGCCCUGAGGAUCCUGUAUCCCUUCUCCUUGUGUGUAUUCUGGACAGUCCUUAAAAAAAAAUCAUUAGACCCAACACAACUUAAAUCUCAGAAAAGAUGUCAAUGUGUUUCAGCGCCUGGGCACACAAUUAAUCUCCAUCUAUCUCCGGUAAUAUAAACACACCUGUGGGAUGCUUUCCACUGAGUACAUGAAAGGAGCCUCAUAAUAAAUCUCAGACUGAUCGCCUUAUCAUGACUGACAGAGCCGCUGCAGGCUCCUUCUUUAUGAGUAUAAUUUGGGAGUGUAUAAAAGCAGCAGAUUGAUUUGCGCAGAGCCCUUCCCUUCCUCCAGUAUUUAUUCCAAGCUGUGCAACUCCCUCUUUUUUUUUAUUAAAAAAAUGUACUCACAAAA